rnacentral:rRNA from 1 species
AUACGGAGGAUGCGAGCGUUAUCCGGAUUUAUUGGGUUUAAAGGGUGCGUAGGCGGCUUGGUAAGUCAGCGGUGAAAUUCAGAUGCUCAACAUCUGCCGUGCCGUUGAAACUGCCGGGCUUGAAUGCGGAUGCCGUGGGAGGAAUGUGUGGUGUAGCGGUGAAAUGCAUAGAUAUCACACAGAACACCGAUUGCGAAGGCAUCUCACGAAUCCGCGAUUGACGCUGAGGCACGAAAGUGCGGGGAUCAAACAGGAUUAGAUACCCUGGUAGUCCGCACAGUAAACGAUGAUGACUAACCGUCGGCGAUACACAGUCGGUGGCCAAGCGAAAGCGAUAAGUCAUCCACCUGGGGAGUACGACCGCAAGGUUGAAACUCAAAGGAAUUGACGGGG